GUCCACGCCGUAAACGAUGGGCACUAGGUGUCGGGGGUAUCCACUCCCUCGGUGCCGCCGCUAACGCAUUAAGUGUCCCGCCUGGGAAGUACGGUCGCAAGAUUAAAACUCAAAGGAAUUGACGGGGGCCCGCACAAGCGGUGGAGCAUGUGGUUCAAUUCGAUGCUACGCGAAGAACCUUACCUGGGUUUGACAUCUGGCGAAUUCACUGGAAACAGAGAAGUGCCCGCAAGGGAACGCCAAGACAGGUGCUGCAUGGCUGUCGU
rnacentral:rRNA from 1 species